rnacentral:rRNA from 1 species
GACGAACGCUGGCGGCGUGCUUAAUACAUGCAAGUCGAACGGAAAGGCCCUGCUUUUGCGGGGCGCUCGAGUGGCGAACGGGUGUGUAAAACGCGAGUAAACUGCCCCUGACUGUGGGAUAACUUCAGGAAACAGGGGAUAAAACCGGGGAGGAGCUCCUGCUGCACGGGGGGGGAUGGAAAGUUUCGGCGGUUGGGGAUGGACUCGAGGCUUAUCAGCUUGAUGGGGGAGUAGGGGCUUACAAAGGCUGUGACGGGUAGCCGGCCUGGGAGGGUGGCCGGCCACCUGGGUACUGAGAUAGGGAGCAGACUCCUACGGGACGCAGCAGUGGGGAAUAUUACAGAAUGGGCGGAAGCCUGAUGCAGCAGUGCCGCGAGCGGGAUACCGUCCUUCGGGUUGUAAACAAAUUUCGCCUGUGCUGAGCAGUUAGUGACGGUAAUGGGUAAGGAAGCCACGGCUAACUACGUG